rnacentral:other from 1 species
CAUCCUCUGGAGUGCUCGAUACAAGGCAUUGAAGCGUUGACCAACACAGGUGACACCCGUCCUUGGUCAAAGCCAUGGUGAGCCAGCCCGUCUCUGAGCGGGACGCCUGAAAUGGCUUUCAAAGGCAGGAACUAAAGUUCUUACGGUCAAGACUUCAAGAUCGCGGUCGGCACUUCGGAGACAAA